GUCACUCAUGGCAGGCUCCAGAAAUUUUAGGGUUGGCAGCCGUUCCUUUAAAUAUGGAUCCAUGUCCCUCUCAGCCUGACAGCCUCGCCCUCCCAUGCAACACUUCACCUUCAGUCAGGCGUCCCCUUAUACUAAGGCUGCGUUUACACCAAGCAAAUCUAAUUGAUUCCAUUCAUGAAGAAUCAUUUGACUCAAGUCAUUUUGAAUCAGCACAUUCAGAAGGCAGCUCCAAGGCAGGCUUUCACGUGUGUGGACCUUCACGUGUCGCUGAAAUAGCAGCGCUGCUGUGGCCGAGGCAGCGCGGGCGUCACCAACGGACAGCAGGAAAUUAUUGUUAAAAGACCUGAAUUUGGGAACUUUGGACAUUGUUCCCAGAUUUGUUGAAUAAUCCAGAUAAAUGUUAUGACUUCUUUUGGAUAACUAAAGAGCAAUUUAAAAUGUUGGUGGAGUUGACUGACUGGAUCCUCCGUAAGAAAGCAGAACACUAGUUACCGACGUGCAGCUGUGUCACGCAUUUCAGACGUGGACCACACAGCGCACAGUUGCCAAAUGAGAAUAUCAGCCACGUCCAUAACGCUUUGUGUUGCCAUUUGUUUAAAAAAUAUGCUGCGGAAUGUUGUCUAGUAAAUCCUAUGUAUGGCGCGGCACGUCCUUCUGUGGUUCAGCAGCCUGCAAUAGUUCCCCUGUGGUAAAUGAAUACAAACUGUUGACUCUUUUCAGCAGCAGUAUCCUUCCACAAAGCAGCCGUGGCAUCUCCUGUCGGUGCAUGGGAUCACUGGGAUCAUAUAUCACACGUCGUUCUCCUGCUAAAUUGACAAGGACGUCUGCUGGCAUGGUGCUUGCUCCUUGGAUGACUCGCCUUGACUAAUGAAAAAAUGGGUCCAAACCAACCAGUGACUCUGAAUCAUCAUGACUUGAAUUGACUGGAUUCGCUUGGUGUAAACGGUUACAUUGAAAUUAGUGUGGCGAAUCAAGACGAAUCAUGAAUCGUGUUGAUUUUUCACGAAUGGAAUUGAUUCGAUUCGCAUAUAAAAGGAAGGGAAGGGAGCACAAGGCCAUUUGGAAGCGAGCUAACUCUCCUACACUUGAUAUACCCGCGGUUCACAGGGUCAUGGCUGGAAUAUGGGAGAAGGGGUCUACAGCCUCUUGGAUGUGAAGGUCUUGGCCAGCCUCAGAGUCUUCACAGGGUCAUGGCUGGAAUAUGGAAGAAGGGGUCUACAGCCUCUUGGAUGUGAAGGUCUUGGCCAGCCUCAGAGUCUUCACAGGGUCAUGGCUGGAAUAUGGGAGAAGGGGUCUACAGCCUCUUGGGUGUGAAGGUCUUGGCCAGCCUCAGAGUCUUCACAGGGUCAUGGCUGGAAUAUGGGAGAAGGGGUCUACAGCCUCUUGGGUGUGAAGGUCUUGGCCAGCCUCAGAGUCUUCACAGGGUCAUGGCUGGAAUAUGGGAGAAGGGGUCUACAGCCUCUUGGGUGUGAAGGUCUUGGCCAGCCUCAGAGUCUUCACAGGGUCAUGGCUGGAAUAUGGGAGAAGGGGUCUACAGCCUCUUGGGUGUGAAGGUCUUGGCCAGCCUCAGAGUCUUCACAGGGUCAUGGCUGGAAUAUGGGAGAAGGGGUCUACAGCCUCUUGGGUGUGAAGGUCUUGGCCAGCCUCAGAGUCUUCACAGGGUCAUGGCUGGAAUAUGGAAGAAGGGGUCUACAGCCUCUUGGGUGUGAAGGUCUUGGCCAGCCUCAGAGUCUUCACAGGGUCAUGGCUGGAAUAUGGGAGAAGGGGUCUACAGCCUCUUGGGUGUGAAGGUCUUGGCCAGCCUCAGAGUCUUCACAGGGUCAUGGCUGGAACAUGGGAGAAGGGGUCUACAGCCUCUUGGGUGUGAAGGUCUUGGCCAGCCUCAGAGUCUUCACAGGGUCAUGGCUGGAAUAUGGAAGAAGGGGUCUACAGCCUCUUGGGUGUGAAGGUCUUGGCCAGCCUCAGAGUCUUCACAGGGUCAUGGCUGGAAUAUGGGAGAAGGGGUCUACAGCCUCUUGGGUGUGAAGGUCUUGGCCAGCCUCAGAGUCUUCACAGGGUCAUGGCUGGAAUAUGGGAGAAGGGGUCUACAGCCUCUUGGGUGUGAAGGUCUUGGCCAGCCUCAGAGUCUUCACAGGGUCAUGGCUGGAAUAUGGGAGAAGGGGUCUACAGCCUCUUGGGUGUGAAGGUCUUGGCCAGCCUCAGAGUCUUCACAGGGUCAUGGCUGGAAUAUGGGAGAAGGGGUCUACAGCCUCUUGGGUGUGAAGGUCUUGGCCAGCCUCAGAGUCUUCACAGGGUCAUGGCUGGAACAUGGGAGAAGGGGUCUACAGCCUCUUGGGUGUGAAGGUCUUGGCCAGCCUCAGAGUCUUCAGGCUGUAGCUGUUGAUAAUUCUGAUAAUGUCUCUUGAGUGUGUGUGUGUGUGUGUGUGUGUGUGUGUGUGUGAGUGUGAGAUGACUUGACGAGGGUGUGUUAAUAGGGGCAAACAGCGGUACAGGAGACUUACAAGAGGCGAGGACAAACAGCUGUGGUUCAGUUAAGUCCUUCAACUAACUCAGA